GGCCAAAUUGCACAAUUGCAGUUUAAAAGAGCAACUGUGAUGUACCACUGCAUUUAAGUCAGUAAGCAGUUUUCCAUUUUUAAUGGACUUUCAUUAUAUUACAAUUCCUUUAGGCUUAUAUCCAUUCAGAAUACCCUUCCAGCUUCUGUAAGUAAUGAACAUAGCUAUAGUUUUGACAGAAAUGGGUUAACAGGUAACAAACCUGAACCUGUCCCAGAUGGUGGAAAGUUGUCCACGUCUGUGGAGAUGCCACGUGGAGAAUGAGAAGUACACAGCCACACCAAGCUUCUAGAAGCUCAGAUAUUCUUCUUUAAAAUAUUAUACCCUUUCAUCUAGUUGUCCAGCCUUUAACAGCUAGACCAGCAGAAGUAAAGGAGCAAACAAAUGCUUUUAUCAGAGUUAAAUACAAACCAGUUGUAAUAAUUUCCCCAAUUCAUAAUGCAGCCUACGUAGCAGAAACUUUACCCGAACUUACCCUUGUGAGGUGCAAAAUUGAGAAGACAAAACUCAUCCACGGAGUAAAAUUAACAAGCCAUUUAUGACAGCCUCAGUUCAGUAAGUGUAAAGUGUAUGCACUUUAUUAUUGGUCACAACAGGAGAGAUUUUUUUUUUAAUGAAUGACAGUUCAGUUGCCUUCUGUCAGGAUGAAUGUCCCAGUGGCCACAAGCUGCACCUUCACUUCCUGAAUGCCAUGUUUCAGUGGUACUUCCUGCGGCGGUCAUGCUCUGUAUCAAAGUAAAACAACAAGAAGUUGCAAGAAAAAAAAAAUAAUCCAUGGAUUUCACACACACACAAAAAGCACUCGAAGGGAAAUCCAAGCGUGUAGUUUCUAAGCACCAUCAGGUUAAAGAGGCAAGAAGAUCUACACUUCCUUCAACACCAAGGAAGCAUGGGUUAUCUGACAAUUAGAAGCAUGCAAUUUGCUUGCCCAGACAGCAUCAGAUGGAAGUGGCAACGCUUGCCAUUCUGUUUGACUUAAUUUCUAAGGGCAGGUACAACUUUCCUGCUGUCACUGCCCCAAGCAAUCCACCACGCUGCACUGUGCACAUGCAGCCAGUUUUUACUUACUCAAGUGACUGUAGCUCCAGAUGUAGCUGAGGACAACGUACCCAGCAAGCACCAUACUGAUACCACCGAGGCCCCCUUUCCUCACAUUGAUAUACUUAUUGUAAUACCUGUCAUAACCUCUGCGGAAGGCACCCACGAUGCCGCUGGGGGUGAAGUCCCUCAUGGCCAGCCAGGUGGACAGCUGGCCCACCUUGACGUCCAGCAGCUUCAUGUCCUUCAGGGGAACCGGCGGCUGCGCCAUCUUGUCGUGCUGUGCGCCACCGCGGGGCGAGACG
rnacentral:lncRNA from 1 species